AAGGUUGUGCUGUUUUUGUUUUCUUUUGAAGAUCUUUUCACUUAUGGAGUGAGGAGGUAAAAUUUAUUAAUUCCAGUAAGGAAGAUGAAGUUCACAUCAAAAGGCAUGGGUCCAUGGAUCCCUUUGCUCCCUUGGUCACAGAACCAGGCCAAGCCAGGCCAAACCUUGACACAGUAAAAAGGUCAGAAAACCAAUGCAGCUGAAGAUGUAGUCUCAUGAAUAUGGAAUAUACUGGACUCAAUAUGCUCAUUCAUAUUUCCAAUUGUCUUUUUUUUCCCAGUGAAUAUAAUUAUGCAAAGUAAAAUUCUAUAGUAGUAAUAUAAGUAACUUCCCUGGAGGUGAAUGUAGGUAUCAGGUUAACACAACUACAAUCAAUUCAGUAGGUGUUAACCUUUUGGGCAGUUGUAUGUAGUUAGAAUGGAUCAAUUUACCAAGGGGCUUCUCCUUAGUGAAGGAUCAUGCUAGUGAUUUUUAAAAAAAAUUUCUUUAGAACUAUCUUAGAUGGAAGAGACUUGCAAUGAUCUUAACACUUGGUUUUGCAGUGGGUGUUUAUCACUUCAGACUGCUACUGGCAGUGAAAUAGAUAGAGAUGGGUUUGAAACUACAUGUAAAGAAACAAAUAGAUUGGACAAAGCACUUUAACGAGAGAACAUUUUAAAACUAUAGUAAAUAUUGUUGUCUUUAGACUAAUGUCAACCCUUUUCUUCCCACAACCAAUUAUUGGAUUUAGUAUGGUAUAAUACUUGCAGAUUAUUUGUAAUAGUUGAGUAUAUCCACAUAUGCUGUUCCUUCUACAGUAAUUGAAAAGUGAUUUUUUCACUACAAUUUAAUUCAAGACAUUUCCCUGACAGUCUGCCCAGACCAAGUUCUUUUUCUAUGCUUCUCCAUAAUUUUGGGAGUAGUUUGCAUAUCACUUC